rnacentral:sRNA from 1 species
UAUUACACAGUAGCCGCUUUGUAACCAGA